CGGGACACGUGGUAUCCUGUCUGAAUAUGGGGGGACCAUCCUCCAAGGCUAAAUACUCCUGACUGACCGAUAGUGAACCAGUACCGUGAGGGAAAGGCGAAAAGAACCCCGGCGAGGGGAGUGAAAAAGAACCUGAAACCGUGUACGUACAAGCAGUGGGAGCACGCUUAGGCGUGUGACUGCGUACCUUUUGUAUAAUGGGUCAGCGACUUAUAUUCUGUAGCAAGGUUAACCGAAUAGGGGAGCCGAAGGGAAACCGAGUCUUAACUGGGCGUUAAGUUGCAGGGUAUAGACCCGAAACCCGGUGAUCUAGCCAUGGGCAGGUUGAAGGUUGGGUAACACUAACUGGAGGACCGAACCGACUAAUGUUGAAAAAUUAGCGGAUGACUUGUGGCUGGGGGUGAAAGGCCAAUCAAACCGGGAGAUAGCUGGUUCUCCCCGAAAGCUAUUUAGGUAGCGCCUCGUGAAUUCAUCUCCGGGGGUAGAGCACUGUUUCGGCAAGGGGGUCAUCCCGACUUACCAACCCGAUGCAAACUGCGAAUACCGGAGAAUGUUAUCACGGGAGACACACGGCGGGUGCUAACGUCCGUCGUGAAGAGGGAAACAACCCAGACCGCCAGCUAAGGUCCCAAAGUCAUGGUUAAGUGGGAAACGAUGUGGGAAGGCCCAGACAGCCAGGAUGUUGGCUUAGAAGCAGCCAUCAUUUAAAGAAAGCGUAAUAGCUCACUGGUCGAGUCGGCCUGCGCGGAAGAUGUAACGGGGCUAAACCAUGCACCGAAGCUGCGGCAGCGACGCUUAUGCGUUGUUGGGUAGGGGAGCGUUCUGUAAGCCUGCGAAGGUGUGCUGUGAGGCAUGCUGGAGGUAUCAGAAGUGCGAAUGCUGACAUAAGUAACGAUAAAGCGGGUGAAAAGCCCGCUCGCCGGAAGACCAAGGGUUCCUGUCCAACGUUAAUCGGGGCAGGGUGAGUCGACCCCUAAGGCGAGGCCGAAAGGCGUAGUCGAUGGGAAACAGGUUAAUAUUCCUGUACUUGGUGUUACUGCGAAGGGGGGACGGAGAAGGCUAUGUUGGCCGGGCGACGGUUGUCCCGGUUUAAGCGUGUAGGCUGGUUUUCCAGGCAAAUCCGGAAAAUCAAGGCUGAGGCGUGAUGACGAGGCACUACGGUGCUGAAGCAACAAAUGCCCUGCUUCCAGGAAAAGCCUCUAAGCAUCAGGUAACAUCAAAUCGUACCCCAAACCGACACAGGUGGUCAGGUAGAGAAUACCAAGGCGCUUGAGAGAACUCGGGUGAAGGAACUAGGCAAAAUGGUGCCGUAACUUCGGGAGAAGGCACGCUGAUAUGUAGGUGAAGUCCCUCGCGGAUGGAGCUGAAAUCAGUCGAAGAUACCAGCUGGCUGCAACUGUUUAUUAAAAACACAGCACUGUGCAAACACGAAAGUGGACGUAUACGGUGUGACGCCUGCCCGGUGCCGGAAGGUUAAUUGAUGGGGUCAGCGCAAGCGAAGCUCUUGAUCGAAGCCCCGGUAAACGGCGGCCGUAACUAUAACGGUCCUAAGGUAGCGAAAUUCCUUGUCGGGUAAGUUCCGACCUGCACGAAUGGCGUAAUGAUGGCCAGGCUGUCUCCACCCGAGACUCAGUGAAAUUGAACUCGCUGUGAAGAUGCAGUGUACCCGCGGCAAGACGGAAAGACCCCGUGAACCUUUACUAUAGCUUGACACUGAACAUUGAGCCUUGAUGUGUAGGAUAGGUGGGAGGCUUUGAAGUGUGGACGCCAGUCUGCAUGGAGCCGACCUUGAAAUACCACCCUUUAAUGUUUGAUGUUCUAACGUUGACCCGUAAUCCGGGUUGCGGACAGUGUCUGGUGGGUAGUUUGACUGGGGCGGUCUCCUCCUAAAGAGUAACGGAGGAGCACGAAGGUUGGCUAAUCCUGGUCGGACAUCAGGAGGUUAGUGCAAUGGCAUAAGCCAGCUUGACUGCGAGCGUGACGGCGCGAGCAGGUGCGAAAGCAGGUCAUAGUGAUCCGGUGGUUCUGAAUGGAAGGGCCAUCGCUCAACGGAUAAAAGGUACUCCGGGGAUAACAGGCUGAUACCGCCCAAGAGUUCAUAUCGACGGCGGUGUUUGGCACCUCGAUGUCGGCUCAUCACAUCCUGGGGCUGAAGUAGGUCCCAAGGGUAUGGCUGUUCGCCAUUUAAAGUGGUACGCGAGCUGGGUUUAGAACGUCGUGAGACAGUUCGGUCCCUA
rnacentral:rRNA from 1 species